rnacentral:tRNA from 2 species
GCGGUUGUGGCGAAGUGGUUAACGCACCGGAUUGUGGCUCCGGCAUUCGGGGGUUCAAGUCCCCUCAACCGCCCCA